CUUGACAUCAAUUAGAUCACCAGGCUCUCUUGGGUCCUCCGAGUAGAUCAUUAGGAGACUUGUGCCUCCCCUCCCUCUGUUCCCCCACUUGAUCGCCCACUUUACGCCAUUGCGUUGCACUUCAAGCUGCUUCCUUUGCAUUCGUCCUCUCAUCUGCAGCCCAGCGCUUUGGCAGCCACGCUCGCGUUUUCAAGGUAUAAAGGGCCGAGAGGAAGGGGAGGGCGAGCGACACGCUGUGAUGGUGAGGCGAGCCUCGAAAUUGCCUCUUAAUUUGCGGCCAACGUGUCGCAGCGGCGGCGGGCUCUCCUCCCGACAAGCAUAUCAGGCAAUUAGCGAGCGCUAAUCAUGACCCUCGUGUCGGCGCCGUAGCCUCGUUUGUAAUCUCUUAAUGAACAAAUUGCAUCUCUGAUUAGGGGCCGUCUCACCGGGAGAGAAAGCAGACGAGAGUGAGACGCCGCAGUAGAGCCAGCAUUAAUUGCCUCAGGUUUGGCGUUCUAAUCGUGUAUUUCAAAACUGUAAUGUAAAUUCAUCUCAGUGGCUGGAGUCAGGAUUUUGGUGGCGUUAAUUUGCUCCUAGAGCAGUUUGAGUGCCAGAAAGACUUGACUUGUUUUGGAGGGGUGUCUUCAUUAUGUGAAGAUGAUAGUUGAGCUCUCUCCAAGUGUGCAACAAAAUUUCUCACUGGUCAUCUGUGUCACAUAGAAACGAAAGUGCUCUCUUUAUGUUAUGAUCCUCGCAUCCUGUUGCGUGUUCACCAGUAAGGUCAAACGACGAGGUUAGAUUUUAAACCCUCCUGGGAGCUGUCAGUCACAAAGAUUAGAGGGGAAAUCAGUUGGUGCUAGAGUGUUUAUUGGGGUUUUAACUCCAAAGAACUCACCUGAGUGCCAUUUUGUGGCCACUCCUGAGCUCAUUAGAGCGACUCUUGGCCACUCGAGGUGAUGCCGGUUCAACCCGCCUCUUUUUAAAGUAGAACAUUUUUGUGAGGAGCACACUCAUUAAAAUUACUCAUUGCCAAUGGUUAGGUCGCAGUAACAAGAACAGUGUAACCUGAUUGGUCCUGUUAUACAUGGUGCCAAUGCAUGUUGGUUGAUAAUUGUUCUUGUUUUUUCACACGAUCAUGGUUGUCCUCAACCAAAGUGUGCUCAUAUUUUCAAAAUACGUUGAAACAUAUCCUGACUCUUUUUAGUACUUUUUAUUGCUGUUUUUCUUUCUAAUGCUGGACAAAAUAUUUAUGUGUAGCCAAGUGAUGAAACAUUCUUCCGAUACGAGUUUCUGCAGACGUAAUGGUGAGUGAAAUGUCCCGUUGAAUAAUAAACCUUGGAACCACUCUUUUUUUGUUUCUGGAAUGCAACGGAUGCAUCCAGCUUUGUUUACUCCUCCACAUCUGCUCCACGCCGCUAAUUAGUCGCUAAUUGGCGCAGAGAAAGCCAAUGGCUCACUCAAGUCUUUGUCAGGGAGUUUGAGUGAAGAGUUGUAUGCUGUAGUCAUAGACACAAUUUCAGAUGACAAAAAAAUCAUUUGAUAUUAAAUGUUUUAUUAAUGUGUCAAGACUGAUUAAGAUUGUAUGUCACACAUACUAGCAGUAAUAAGAAUGAUAGGUACAGUACAAUACAAUACGGAAAUGGUAGGUUAACAAAACCAAUACACUUUAAUGUAAUUCACGUAACAUGCUAACUUAAAGAAUAUCAUAUGUAAAUAACUAUGACUUCAAUUAGCGAGCGGGCUCGACACUUUCCCCACAAAUUUACAUUGCAGAAGUAACGUUAACCCUCAAGUGAAAUUGUCAUUCUGGUUAACAUGAUUACCUGAAAUCAUAAUGACAGGAGCAGAUUGCGGCAUGAUGAAGAAAGUAUACCAGUGUCAGUCUAUGUUAAGUUGCAUGCAUGCGUGCAAUAAUGGAUGAAUAUGAAUGAUGCCUGAUGAAGGAAAUGCUGACAGUGAGAGAGGGGGCUGUAGAUGUAGUCAGUGCCCCUCAGAAUUUUCUACUGAGCCAAAAGUAGAUUACUGACAUUGCAUAGUAACUAGAGCUGGGAAUCUUUGGGCACCUAACGAUUCGAUUACGAUUCAGAGGCUCCGAUUCGAUUAUAAAACGAUUAUUGAUGCACUCCCCUCCUUUUUUUAAAAAAAUGUUUUGUACAUUAGUUCCAAAAUUGUUCAAAAAUCCUCCCAGGCAAAACAAAACUACUAUUUCAGUAUCAAGUUAACAUAUAACAGUAAAUAAAAAACUCCAGUCCCCAUUCUGUAUCAGCAGCUUUAACAGGGUACCCGCGGGUUAUUAAAAGUAUUAACUCUUUCACUCCCAGCCAUUUUCACCAGAGCAAGUCCCUUCGCUUCCGGCCGUUUUUUUUUUCUGGAUUUUGACUGAUUUUGCAAGGCCAACAGAAAAUUAUGUUCUAUUUCUAUAUAAACUUGGAAACCACCAAAAGAAAGAUUAGACUGUAUUCUUUCAGCAGAAAAAAAAGUAAGUUCGUAUCUUUUUCCAUUCUUUAGAAAUCAGCAUUAGAAAAUAGCUUAGUUUGAGCAAUUUUCCAAUUUCUGAUGAAAAAACGGAGAAAAUGAGCUUUUUGUAAACGCAUACAUUUCAAACAUAACUUUGACUUUAACAAAGCUAUUUUUUGCAUUAGUUACAUUCCAAACAUCUGAAUGUUUUCAUUUUACAAAAUACCAUGAACAACCAGACAAAUAGAGCUUUAGAUAGCAAAGUAACAAUUUAUUCACACACGACUACUGAGAGAUGACGGUUUGUCGCCACGUCAGCUGUGUAAACUUUUCCCUCAUCGUUGUCUGUCUCACAAAGAUGGAUUAUUUUUGCAUUUCUGCGGGGUCUGCUUGGCGAGCCGCUCCACGGGGGGUUUCACUCGUUUUGCAUGGUCGUCCAGCGCCUGGCGUCCCAGGCGUCCUCUCGUUGUUUUGUCCGGUUAGAGCGCCGCCUGGGCUCAAGCCGCCAGCGCUCUGACAAUGCUGCCCGGCCGUUCACUGCUGUUGAAUCGGGUUGCCUAGUCUUCCAAAAUGCGCUACUGCCCUCCAGUGGCCAGUUUUAUUGCUUUAAAAUUGGUUUGGAGCGUUGUUCUUUGUUUCUCGGAUACAGCGGAAGCUAUAUAUGCUUCUUAUGAAAAAAAAACACAAAAGACGUAUAAAUACGUUUGCGGGACAGUUCAGCAUUUAAAAAUACAACGUAUUUAUACGUUUCUGGGAGCAAAUGAGUUAAAAAAGCAUUGAAUUUAGUUUUCCAUUAUUAAAGGUAUUAAAAGUAUUAAAUUAGCUGUUGUAAGUCUGGAAUUUUUUCACCGUGGUCCUAAUUUUCAAGAACAUAUCAGUGCAACCUAAAUUAUUUCCGUGACUUUUUUUUUUUUUUUUUUUAAAUCCAUAACGAAGAUGACGCAUAGAAUUUUUAGGAUGCACUGCACUACAAAUCGAAAUGCAACUCGUGCGUGCCAAACCACCACAACCGGCAAAACGGAGAAUCCUUCCACCUCUGCAUCGUGAAUGCGUCCGUUUGUCGGUGGAACGAAAACCCUGCAGGCAGAAGUAUUGUGGAUUCUGAACACCAAAACAGACCACCAUUCAUAUACUUCAAAUGAGUCCAUUGGUGAUCUGUUUCGGAUAUUACGUAAUUUUUGGUCGGCAUCGGCUGUCACAAUGUUGGUCAUAUUGCAUUUUGUUCCAGAGGGAGCGUUCCCGAUGUCUUAACUAUAACGAAUUUUCAGUUGGCAGAAAAAAAACGCACAUUUUCUUAAUGUUUAAAUAGUCUACAUAUUCUUAUGACCAUUAUAAAUGCAUUUACACAAUGAAAUAACGCUGGAAAAGUUUGUUAAACAUAAUGUUGCUCAAAUCGUGUUUUUUUUUUCCAGAGGGAGCAUUCCCGACUUCGUAACUGCAGCCAAUUUAAGCUCAUCAAGACUUUAAGAUAGAGGUAAAAUCGGGCCUAAAAAGUCCAGCCCGACCCAAACUGGUCCACGGGUAAAGCCCGACCCGCGUUUUGUGUGAUAACAUUUGUGAUGAUGUCUGCAUAAAAGCCUGUCUUUUAUAACGAAUUCUCAGUUGGCAGAAAAAAAACGCAUAUUUUCUUAAUGUUUAAAUAGACUACAUAUUUUUAUGAUCAUUAUAAAUUUAUUUACACAACGAAAUAACGCUGGAAAAGUUUGUUAAAUAUAGAUUAACAAAUGCGGUUUUGCGGACUCGCAGAGGGGAAGAUUAAAAAGGGCGUAUAGGCACGCUCUGGCUCUGCAAUGACCAUACAGUGCCUUCUUUUUUUUUUUAUGCAAAUUAUUUAUUUUAUAACAAGUAUUCCUUAGUUUAUCAUUCAUACAUCGUUAAUAUAUAGUUAUUUCAAAAAGUUAGCGAGAAAGAACCUUGGCCCGGCCCGACGUAAUAAUUGAGAUUUUAAUUUUGGUCAUGUUUUCAGUUUAAUUUAGCUGUUUCCAGCUUGCUAUGUUUAUAAUAGCGAUGUUUGUUUACCGCUUUUCUUCUUACUGUGAAGAGGGAGGAAGUUACAUCGGCCGCCGCUAUGAUAUUUAAGUCAUCAGCCAUCUGCUGUGAGCGGGGAAUUUAACGCCUGCUUUCACGCACACUGCUUCCCAUGUCAGUCGACACGGGAAAUUGUUUUCACACACAACUGCUGCACGGUUAAGUCCUGCGAUAUUCCCGUUGUUUUGGAGUAUGUGAUAGGGGCUCAAGUUACAUCCAGAUACUUUAGGUUGCAAUUUAUGGGUCAUGCGAAGGCAGUGGACCUGCUUAAACAUUUCGGUUUGCCUUUCGAAUGAAUGUGAAUUUCGCCGUUUUAACUCGAGAGUUAGCCAUGUUCACUGGGGUCUUGGCAGGUGCACUAGCGGCUAGCCUGUUACAGAAGAUGGCUAGUCUGAGUCCUGUCCUCCUCCUCUUUUUGUCCAUAAUUAUUGUGUGCGUGUGUGUGUUUAAAAAAAUUCUGACAGACUUUAUAAGGUUACUUUAAAUGUGUUUUAAUUGUAUCUUCAACAUAUGUGCAUUCUUUUGUCAAACACACUUAGUAAUUGAGGUUAAAUUUGAUGUUCAGUGCUUUAUUUAUUUAAUAUGAUUCAAUAUGAUCUAAAUAAUGGGUGCGAGAAAAGUAUUAAUUUUCAGUUGAAAUGGCAUUAAAAAAGGUCGUAAGUCUUGGAUUUCGAUUUAUCAAUCCUGGGGGGACCCUGUUUAAACAACAUUCAAUUAAUUUAAUGUUGUGAAUCAACUGUUACAUUUGUUAAAAUUACUCCCGUUAUUCCAUAAUUUCCCUUCUGUCUACUUUUGUCAAAGUUUUAAAACUAUUUCAUCAUUUAAAGAUAGAUUCAAGACAAGAUUCUGCCGAUUUAGGAGUAUUUUAGAUAAAAAGUUAAUUAGGUACGCUACAACAGAGCCUUCUAGAGAGGUCUACUGCUGUAAGAUGGCGGCUGUUUACUUACGCCGGAAAGUCUGUCAUUCGCAUCGCUGUUCAAUAAUACAUGUUUUAACACCGACGUCGUCUGUCAUUUUGCAUAUAGUUCUACAUAUAUAUGAUAUCUACUGUAGCCGUAUGUUUGUAGCAACUAGCAACUGGGCGUUGUUUGUAGCGGUUGUCGGCCGCAGUCAGGUAUGAUUGUUUUUUUAUCUAGCGGCAUGAGUUGAACAUGGUAUUUACUCUCGGUCCGUUCUUCAUUGCGUCCCAAAGACCGCGCUGACUGUGUUUUACUUCCGCUUUACCUGGUAUAAUUCAAUAAUCGGAAUUUGGAUAUUUUGAAUCGUUCUCGAAUCUUCCACGACCGAAUCGCGAAUAAUCUAAGAAUCGGAAAUUUUGCACGGCUCUAAUAGUAACAAUGUUUAUUCCGAAGGAGCUUGAAUUUAAAUUAGGUUUACAAGAAGUGUAUUUGCUGUAUUCAAUACGAGGCUGACAAGUUUUCAAUACCUAUGAAAAUUUUCACAAAACCCUUGUAAAACAUGUAAACAAUUUAAACAAUACAGGAUACAAAGUCGAUUUUCAUUUAAUUAAGUAUAAAUGUAAAUCAUGUGUAAUUCUCAAAAAUACCACCAUGAUAAGUGGAGGCUCAUUUGAUGCUCACAUUCAUCAUGUGCAUGGCCAGGGCGAUAACUCGAAGUUUAUGAAUUGAUUAAAUAAUUUAUUUAUUUUAAUUGUGACUAAUUCAAAAAGUCAUUUAUUUCAUUUCGAAAAAGACUUUAAUCAGGACAACAAUUACUUUUGUUCAACGUUUGAAUUAAAAAAUAGUAAUACUAAUAAUUUUUUUAAAAUUGUUUUGAGAUUUCGCUCUCUUUUGGUGAAGACUGAAUCGAAAAAACUGAAAUUCUUUGGAUGCAUUGCCCAGCCCUAUCAUCGACUAUACACUACAUUUGUUGAAAGUACAUUGGAUAUAAGUGAAAGGCAAAAAGUGUUCUUUUUCAUUUGUGCCAUCCUUACCACAACAAACCUGUCGCUUCACAAAUAUAGUGCAAAAACAAUAAUUAUUCUACUAUACAAACGAGUAAGAACAACGUUUUCAUUGUAAUUUGAAUUUGUGUACAUUUUGAUGUGAUUACAAUGAUUGACUAUUACUUUAUUUUUUGGACUACAAGUAUAAGUCGCCCCCUGAGUAUAAGUAGCACCAGCCAAAAAAGAUGCACAGUGAAUAGUGAGGGGGAAAAAAACAUGUAUAAAUCGCACUGAGGUAUAAGUUGACAUUUUUGGGGCAAUUUUAGCGAUGCUGUGGGGCUGUUUCCCUUCCAAAGGCACUGGGAACCUUGUUAGGGUGCAUGGCAUCAUGAAUGCUUUGAAAUACCAGGACAUUUUAAAUCAAAAUCUGUUGCCCUCUGCCUAAAAGAUGAAGAUGGGUCAUCACUGGGUCUUUCAGCAAGACAAUGACCCUAAACAUAUGGCCAAAUCUACACAGAAAUGGUUCACCAGACACAAAAUCAAGCUCCUCCCAUGGCCAUCUCAGUCCCCAGUCCUCAACCCCAUUGAAAACCUGUGGGGUGAGCUGAAGAGGAGAGUACAGAGGUGAGGACCCAGGUCUCUUGGAUGAUUUAGAGAGAUUCUGCAAAGAGGAAUGGCUGAAGAGCCCUCUUUCUGUCUUUUCCCAACUUGUGAAACAUUAUAGGAGAAGAUUAGGUGCUGUUUUGUUGGCAAAAGGGGGUUGUACAAAGUAUUAACACCAGGGGUGCUAAUAAUUGUGACACACAUUAUUUAAUGUCAAAUAAUUAUUUCUUUAUGUGGGAUUUUUUUCCCCACUGAAUAAAUGCACUUGUAUUGAAGAUUGGAUUUUUCUCUUUUUUUCCCCAUUAAGGUCCCAUAUUAUUUAGAAAGAAAAAAAAUAUUAGAAGCUAAAAAACACAUCUUUAUUAUAAAUCCAAUAAUUAUGGAGGGCACUGUAUAUCAGUUGAAACUCAAUAUUUUAGGCAAACAGGUUUUUUGUUAAGUAGUUCAAAUGUAACAUUUUAAGUUUACAAUAUUAACUUGAUAAAUGUGUUAGGAAUCCUCAAAAUAACAAGUUACUUAAGUGUAUUGAACUAUUUGAGUUAUGACUUGAAGGCCCAGCCAAAUUUUGGGGAAAAAAGUGGGAGUUAUAGUCUGUAAAAUAAGGUAAAAGUUAAUCAAAUAAAUCUCAUUGCCGCCACAGGCAUAAAUUGAAUUUGCAAACCUUUGAACUUGGUUGACUCCGCCCACAGUUCCUGAGAUAAUAGUUUACUCGGUAUACUUCCGGACAUGGAGCAGAACUUCUUCCUGUAAGGAGGCGAUUAGUGCUGUAAUUGGCUCUCCCGGUUGUAGACGAGUGCGGGGCUGGCUGGUUUUGACAAGUAUGCUCGUCCCCCCUCGGCGCCGGCUGCUUUGUCAGGAGUUAAAUUGCAUGGUUAAUUCGGAUGUUAUUUACCCUGUAAUUCAUUAGUUUGGGCCGCCAUUGGCGGCUUGCAGGCUGUAAUUUCACGCUUGGCAAUAAAAGAUGUCUCAUAAUCUGCUUCAUUUAGCAGCCAAAGAAUUUAAUGAAAUUAACUGUGGCCCUAAUUAAGACGGUGAAUAUUAAAGACCUGCUAUCAAGGCUUUAACGAGGGUGACACUAUCCGCGUUUCGCCCGAUACGAAAAAUAUCAUUUCCCUGUGAAAGGUUGUCACUGCUCGGAGCCAUUUUGGCCGUGAUGACAUUUUUGUCACGCACACUCACCCCUGCAAAUGAGAUUUUGCAGGGGGCGUCGCUCCCAUUUUAGUCGGAGGAAUAAUUAAAACAUGGCACACAGGCGUCAAUCAAAGAACAUACUCAUUACGCCUCAUCUCCAGUUUUUGUUUGCCAUGGGCUGUCUCAUGAUGACCGUCUUUGGCCGGAGGCUCUUCAUGUUUUAUGUCUGUCAAUCCACUAAAACUAACUAACUGCUGAAGUAAGCUUUUGGGUUUGUCAUUCAUUGCCUGGCUCGCCAAUUCCUUGGGAGGGAAGUGACCCUUACAUUCAACUUUAUUUUAACUUCAGAAUGUUUUUUUAAGCAUCAACACCUUUCCAAUAUCGGACAACUUUUGUCAACGUUUGAUCCAAUGAAGCAUUUUACUGAUCACCUAUCAGCUGCCGUAACCAUUUGGCCACACCGCCUGCAAUCUCGAUGCAGCCACACACACUGUCUGGAAGCAUGAUGGAUGAGCUGCGAUGGCCGGCGCGAUAGAGGAGGCAGCGUCCAGUUUCCCUCCCACCCACUGUCACCACCCCAAUCUGCUGUCUAAGGGUGACACCUCCAAUUUAGCUUCCCGCUCUUGUGGGAUUUCCAUGAACAAAAGGGCUGUGGCCCCUCAGAGAUCUAGCCGUUCUGUGGAAAGCGUGUCCUCCCCUGUCUCAUAGAUUGAGCGCCCCUGUAUCACGUCUAGGAUCACACUCGGGAGGGUCCAUUGUGUGAAGAACACAGGGGUGAUGGAGGGAUUAAAUGCUCGAUUAGUUUAUAGCAGACCACGAAAGUUCCUUUGCUGCUUCACAAAGUAGAGGCUUGGUAAGAGCUGUCCUUGAUUUAAAAAAACAACAACAAAACCUUCCAGUAGAACAAAUUAUGGAAACUGCGACUGGUUGUAGGAGAGAUGCUAAGUAGUCAGCGAAACAAACUUAAUAUAUUUAAUGAAUAGCAAUAUGUCAUAUUGAAAAAGAAAAAGGUUGAUUUUUUAAAAUUCUUUUAAAUAAACAGGAGAUGACGAGAUACGAUUCAGGAGCAAAAAGAAACAAUGAUCACCUAUGCUAAAUAAAUUUAACCCCUGGGUGUUAUUUGUCCAUUUUUUGGCUUUUUUCGUUUUUUUCUGUGUUUAAAAGGAAAAAAAGCAUAUGAAAAAAUACACUAGGGAGCUGAUAUUUCCUGCAGGAUACUAAAUCAUGUAGAAGUUCGAAAUGGCACCAUCCGGCAAUUUCUAACUUAUUGCAAACAGGCUGGGAAGAUUUGCACUAAACUCUUGUUAUUUUGCCAUUUUUUGGCUCAUUGACUCCCAUUAUAAAUCAUGAUUUUUAAUAUGCUGUAAACCUGAUGUUUUAUCAUGCAUUUUCCGUGAUUAUUGAUGCAAUCGCUUCUUUGGCGAGUCAAAAACAUGCAGAUAAAAAUUUUUUUGUGUUGACACCCAGAAGUCACUAGAUGGAGCCAUAGGCCAAUACAUGAAUUUUCUUGCGAAGCUAGCUUCAGAUCGGUCAAAAAUUAAUGCAAUAAAGACGGUUGGCUUUACAAAAAAAAUGGUGUCAAUGUUGUCUGAGCUCACUUUCAGUCUAUUUGGGCAUGCGUAUUUGCAAUUUUGCACGUUUGCACAAGACAAUAAAAAGGUACUUCCCGGAAAUGCAAAAAAAACCAAAACAAAAAACCACGUGUUUAUUGUUGUCGUUUGAAUUUCAACUUUUAUUGGUUGGGUGUUUGAAUUUCUUUACUCUCAUUGGUUCUGGGCAUUUUGGGAGUCUCUGUUCUCGCGAGGAUCACCAUUUUGCAUUUCUUCCAACACAACUUAUGAUCGAUGGCGGCGAGAAGUAUUUCACCGCAGGACACGAUUCGAAUGGUGUUAGAAAAUCCUGAUUCCGACGACGACGACCUUUGUUCGGACGCUUCUUUGGAGAGCCCAGAAGACAUUGAACAAAUUCUUCCGGACUUUCGAUGCCGGAGGAGGACGGCUUUGAUGACGAGGAUUAGGAAAUAGUUGACAACAAAACGAGAUGAAAGCGGGGAGCAGAAGGCGGGGGCACGGACAUGACCACGUUGAGGCGCAUGACGAAAAUGACGGCGAUCGAGGCCUGAGGCACAUACUCCUGCCGCCGGCGCGCACUCAGGUGGCCAAUGUGUGUUUUUUCACAUGCCGGACAUUUCGUCAUGCAGCGCGUUUGUGCUGUUCACGGAGAUCUACCCUCGUUUGUGCUGUUCACGGAGAUCUACCCUGAGUGGAACGUGAAGAAAAGCUACAAGCGCCGACUAUUUCUUGAGGAACUUGGCAAGGCUCUAAUUCGGCCAGAAGUCCUAAAACGGGAACCACCGCCUUCUGCUGAAGGCUUGGUUGAGCAGCGAGCUGGACCCCCGUCCAAGCGCAAACAAUGUGGCCUUUGCACAAAGCCACUUCGGGCUUCGAACAUAAUAAUAAAUAAUAAUACAUUUUAUUUAUAACGCACUUUACAUUUGAACAACAAAUCUCAAAGUGCACAUCAUGAAUUGUGUAUGUUGUUAUUAUGUUAACUGUUAUAUUGUAUGUAUGUUUUGUAAAAUUGUUAACAUAAAUUCUAUCAUCAAAUCA